AUCGACUGUCUAGUAUAGCACUAUACUGUGAAACUGCGAAUGGCUCAUUAAAUCAGUUAUCGUUUAUUUGAUAGUACCUUACUACAUGGAUAACCGUGGUAAUUCUAGAGCUAAUACAUGCUAAAAACCUCGACUUCGGAAGGGGUGUAUUUAUUAGAUAAAAAACCAAUGCCCUUCGGGGCUCCCUGGUGAUUCAUAAUAACUUAACGAAUCGCAUGGCCUUGUGCCGGCGAUGGUUCAUUCAAAUUUCUGCCCUAUCAACUUUCGAUGGUAGGAUAGUGGCCUACCAUGGUUUCAACGGGUAACGGGGAAUUAGGGUUCUAUUCCGGAGAGGGAGCCUGAGAAACGGCUACCACAUCCAAGGAAGGCAGCAGGCGCGCAAAUUACCCAAUCCCGACACGGGGAGGUAGUGACAAUAAAUACUGAUACAGGGCUCUUUUGAGUCUUGUAAUUGGAAUGAGUACAAUUUAAAUCCCUUAACGAGGAACAAUUGGAGGGCAAGUCUGGUGCCAGCAGCCGCGGUAAUUCCAGCUCCAAUAGCGUAUAUUAAAGUUGUUGCAGUUAAAAAGCUCGUAGUUGAACCUUGGGCCUGGUUGGUCGGUCCGCCUCACCGCGUGCACUGAUCCGACCGGGCCUUUCCUUCUGGGGAGCCGCAUGCCCUUCACUGGGUGUGUCGGGGAACCAGGACUUUUACUUUGAAAAAAUUAGAGUGUUCAAAGCAGGCCUAUGCUCGAAUACAUUAGCAUGGAAUAAUAGAAUAGGACGUGUGGUUCUAUUUUGUUGGUUUCUAGGACCGCCGUAAUGAUUAAUAGGGAUAGUCGGGGGCAUCAGUAUUCAAUUGUCAGAGGUGAAAUUCUUGGAUUUAUUGAAGACUAACUACUGCGAAAGCAUUUGCCAAGGAUGUUUUCAUUAAUCAGUGAACGAAAGUUAGGGGAUCGAAGACGAUCAGAUACCGUCGUAGUCUUAACCAUAAACUAUGCCGACUAGGGAUCGGGCGAUGUUAUCUUUUUGACUCGCUCGGCACCUCACGAGAAAUCAAAGUCUUUGGGUCUGGGGAGUAGUCGA
rnacentral:rRNA from 1 species